AGGGCUGUCGGGAGCGCUGUGACUGCGAGCACGGGGCUGGCUGUGACCCCGCCACCGGGCGCUGCCGCUGUCCCCCUGGGCUGCGGGGCGAGCGCUGUCACACAGGCUGCAAGGAAGGGACGUACGGCGAGGGGUGCCAGCGGCUCUGUGACUGCCCCAGCGAUGUCCCCUGCGACCCGACCACGGGGCGCUGCCUGUGCCCUCCGGGCAAAACCGGCCCCACGUGUGCUGUAGACUGCCGGCCCACGCAGUUCGGCCCCGACUGCCGCCUGCCCUGCCAGUGUGCCCCCGGCAGCUCCUACUGCAACGCCAGGAACGGGCAGUGCCUCUGCCUGAACGGCCACACGGGACCCACCUGCCGGGAAGCCACGCCAUCCCUGCCUCCCACCAGGCCACCACCACCCCCGGGGGGGCUCUGGCCGGCAGAGAAGUAGGUCCUGCUCUGGGAGCACUCCCUUGGUUCAACCAAGCAGCCACCUAAAGAAGCCAAUGACCUGUAAUGAACUCAUUUAUGAGCCACAUGAGCAGCUCUUGUCUCCUAACAGCCCCAGCUGCUGCUUUUGGGGUGGUCUGAGUGAGGCUGAAGUGCCCAGUAUAACCAGUUCACUGUGCCAGCGCGGGCUGGCCGUGAGGACACGUGUGCCCACACCAGUGCGUGCCUUUGGCCAGAGACCAGGUGACCAGUUCA